GACGAACGCUGGCGGCGUGCUUAACACAUGCAAGUCGAACGAACAGACCCGGCUUUUGCGGGGUGCUCGAUUGGCGAACGGGGGAGAAACACGUGAGUAACCUGCCCUUAACUGUGGGGUAUCUCUAGGAGACUCGGGCUAUUAUCGGAUAUAAUCUCCUGCUCCAUGGGGUGGGUUGGAAAGAGUCGGCGGUGGGGGAUGGACUCGCUGCUUAUCAGCUGGUUUGUGUGGUAGGUGAUUACCAGGGCUUUGACGGGUAGCCGGCCUGAGAGGGUGACCGGGCACAAUGCGACUGAGAGAGGGCCCAGACUCCUACGGGAGGCAGCAGUGGAGAAUAUGGCACAAUGGGCGGACGCCUGAUGCAGCGACGCCGCGUGCGGGAUAACGGCCUUCGGGUUGUAAACCGCUUUCGCCUGUGACGAAGCGUGAGUGACGGUACUGGGUAAAGAAGCACCGGCUAACUACGUG
rnacentral:rRNA from 1 species